UACGUAGGGUGCAAGCGUUGUCCGGAAUUAUUGGGCGUAAAGAGCUCGUAGGCGGUUUGUCGCGUCUGCUGUGAAAACUCGGGGCUUAACCCCGGGCCUGCAGUGGGUACGGGCAGACUAGAGUGCGGUAGGGGAGACUGGAAUUCCUGGUGUAGCGGUGAAAUGCGCAGAUAUCAGAAGGAACACCGGUGGCGAAGGCGGGUCUCUGGGCCGUAACUGACGCUGAGGAGCGAAAGCGUGGGGAGCGAACAGG
rnacentral:rRNA from 1 species